ensembl:snRNA U6 U6 spliceosomal RNA
UCGCUUCCACAGCACAUAUAAAUAAAACUGGAAUGAUACAGAGAUUAGCAUGGCGCCCGCACAAGGAUGAUGAGCAAAUCCUUAAGCAGUCCAUAUUCUG